rnacentral:miRNA from 1 species
AACUGUACUGGAAGGAUGGAUGG